GACGAACGCUGGCGGCGUGCCUAAUACAUGCAAGUAGAACGCUGAAGGAGGAGCUUGCUUCUCCGGAUGAGUUGCGAACGGGUGAGUAACGCGUAGGUAACCUGCCUGGUAGCGGGGGAUAACUAUUGGAAACGAUAGCUAAUACCGCAUAACAGUAGAUAUUGCAUGAUAUCUUCUUGAAAGUUGCAAUUGCAUCACUACCAGAUGGACCUGCGUUGUAUUAGCUAGUUGGUGGGGUAACGGCUCACCAAGGCGACGAUACAUAGCCGAACGGAGAGGGUGAACGGCCAAACUGGGAAUGAGACAAGGCACAGACGCAUACGGGAGGCAGCAGUAGGGAAACUGCGGCAAUGGACGGAAGUCUGACCGAGCAACGACGAGUGAGUGAAGAAGGUUUUCGGAUCGUAAAGCUCUGUUGUAAGAGAAGAACGAGUGUGAGAGUGGAAAGUUCACAGUGUGACGGUAUCUUACCAGAAAGGGACGGCUAACUACGUG
rnacentral:rRNA from 1 species